rnacentral:misc_RNA from 1 species
CUUACCGGGGACGCAGCACCGCCGACCCCUCACCCAGACAUCGUAAACGUAUACUCUAGAGAAGGACAACGCGCGACGACAGACACUCCACGCGGGCCGCCCUUUUGCACACCUCAAUCCCGCCCAGGCCUUCCUCUGCUGCGUUGCUGUCUUGACACGCAGCUGUGUGCACCCCGCCCCCUACGCCCUCCCCCUUUCCAGGCCUUGACGCCUGCAGCAAAGGAAGUGGCAUGAUAAGCAAAUGACGUCUUGUGAGAGAAAUAGCUCCCGUCGUCCAGCACCCCUAGCGCUCGGCGUGGUCGUGUCUGUGGCGCUCGUGCUGCUGGGCGUAUGCGGCGUACCGGCACAGGCGGCCACGGUGACGGACUUGAAGAACGCGAUUAAGAAUGAGUUGUCUAGAAUCGACAUAGGCAUGACGGACUUUUACAGCUCCCUCAGCGUUUCUCCGACUGUGCAGCAGCAGUACUGCACGACGGCCAUCACCAGCCGGGCUGCCGGCUUGAGCCUCACGAUGGAGUCGCUCUCCACGCCAUACGGCGUGCUUGCCACGGAAUAUGGCUUCCUCGUCUACAAGGACACGUUUGUCUUUGGUCCCUCGAUCAAACUCAUCGGCGCCUCAGCCUGGCCAAACGGGACGCUGACGACGGAUAUUCAGAGCGGCAAGAACAUCCUCGUGCCUUACCUCACGAACACCGUCGUUUUCGUCACCGGCAUCAUCGAGAACGGGGACGGCAAGCAGAACAUUCUCCCCAUGAUGCGCUCGAUGAUGGUCGACUCCUACCUCUGCGCCUACAUGCACAUGAACGUUUCUGACCUCUAUCGAAACACUUUCCGCGCCGCCUUUGCAGAGCUGGCGUAGGGACUCGCGUGGAUGGGCGGGCGUUUUUCGACGGGCGCUUGUGCGCGGGCACUUCGCCUCUCUUAGCUUUCACUUUCGGCCUAGAAAUGCACCCUGACGGUCAAGAGGUGCACAAGGGGGGGGCGUGGCGGCGCGGGUGGGAGUGGGCGCUCGCAGGGGUUGUUCAGUGACGUCUGUGCCUCGGCUUCUCGAAACCCCCUUUAUCGCCCUAUCGCCUCCCGAGGCCGUCGAAGUGACGGCCGUCAUGCCUGAAUGCUUGUCGGUAAUUUGGUUGCGCUUGUGCGACCGUAGACCACAUCGUUACUUCUCCCCCUCCCCUCCCUCAUUCUUGUUUUUUUUUCUUUCCACGCAGAGUGCGCCGUUGCGUGCUCCUCUUUUCUCGUGCUGUAUGAGCUCUUCGUUUUCUCUCCCUUUCGCUGUGUGCGCGUGCGCAUUCGGGGGCGUGUCUUCCCGUUCACGGUCGCGGCUGCGGUUGUGCGUUGCGACAUGGAUGACGGCGCCCUUUGCCCCUUUUCCCUCUCUUCAUCUCCUUGUGGUGCCCUCGCCCCUCCGCUGGCUGUAUUUUCCUUUUGGGCGCUCUUGUUUUGCUGUGUGGGGGAGCGGAGGGAGGGGGUGGCGAUGGUGGUUUGGCCCUCUUCUCUCUCUGCGUCUUCUUACCUCUGAUCGCUCACUUUCAAGUCUCCUCAGAACACAGUGGUUGUUGCCCCCACCCCCUCCUAUACAAGGGGGACGAAAAGGCAUUCCCUGAAUUCGGGAAACGACCGAAAAAAAAACGAGUGCGUGAACGGCGGAACCCUCUCCCCCACCCCCUCGCGUGCGCGCUACGAAGCAGAGGAGGAGGGCCGCUGAAUCGGCUGUGGAAGCCGCGGCGCAUGAGGCGCCGUGCACACCCGCAAGCGCACCCAGGCUAACACACGUGUGAGUACGUGGACGUAUUCCGCCGUCCUCACUUCGUAUCCCUUGUCCGCAUGGAUGUUUGCUGCUGUGAGUGCAACGUCACGGAGCCUGUGGUGUAGUACGGAGCGAGGGAGAGGAGCAGCAGCUGCUGCACAUCCCGCAAGUGUUGGCUCACAUGCCAUCCAAAGUGCUUUGGAGGGAAAGAGGACGGGGAUGAGCAUCUUCGAGACAUGACGUACGCCCUCUGCUCCCUCUUCCUGCGUCUGCAGGUGAACAUGUCCUUUGCGUGUUCGUGUCUUCGCGUGCUGAUAAACUGUCUCCCUCCCCCUCGCGCCUUCCUUCUCUCGCUUGGCCGCACCUGUUGGCGUCUCUCUCUCUCUCUAUGCGGGGGUGGGGUGGGGGGCGUGCGAUGCGGCGUGGAACGGACGCCGUUGACGUACGUUCGUUCAAUAACACAUCCGUCAAACCCCGAUCUCUCCCCCCCGACCCACGCACCACGCACGCAUACACAUAUAUGCGCUUCCCUUUUCAAAUGCAAUGCAG